GCAGCCGUAAAAAGAAAGAAAAAAGACAUGCAGGAUGCCCAGCUCAAUCUCAGCCUAGCCCCCAGCGUGGCCCAGAAGGACCUCCAACAGAUUAAGGUUUAAACAGAAGAGGACUGGACAAUCUCAACAGAUACAGAAAAGGGCCACGCCUGCAGCAUAUAGAAGUUCCCAGACUAGCGGUGAAGUCAGAGCUAUAGCCGUCGGCCUACACCAGAGCCACAGCAAUGCGGGAUCCUUAACCCACCGAGCAAGGCUGGGGAUCGAACCUGAGUCCUCAUGGAUACUAGUCGGAUUCUUAACGCACGGAGCUACAGCAGGAACUCCCAGGGCCAGCCCUCCGCUGGCCUCCCCCCCAGGAGGACCCCACCAACAGGGGUCCCACUGAAUAAUUACCCUCGGGAUGUGAUGGGCUGACACUGCCUCCUGACGUCGACGGCUGAGAAAGAUGCUCUUUUUCUAUCCCUCAAACGGUCAACUUUUUCGUUUGUUUUUGUUUGUUUUUGCUUUUUUUAAGGCCGCACCCCAGACACAUAGAGGUCCCCAGGCUAAGGGUUGCAUUGGAGCUACAGCUGCCUGCCUACACCACAGCCUCAGCAACGCCAGAUCCAAGUCGCGUCUGAGACCUACACCACAGCUCACAGCAAUGCCGGAUCCUUAACCCACUGAGUAAGGCCAGGGAUCGAACCUGCAUCCUCGUGGAUGCUAGUCAGAUGGGUUAACUGCUGAGCCACGCCGGGAAUUCCUGGUCGGUCAAAUUUCCUCACUGCUCUUUCUUUUUCAAAGUCCUGUGUCUGCUUGGGGUGACCUCACGGUAAUUUUCCUAUGGAAGGAGGCUUCUGAGAGGAUAAGGACUCUGACACCUGUUUAGAGAGAGGGGUUCCUGAUUCUGGGGUCCGAGGAGGGCUUCCGAGGGUCUGGGGACCACCUGCAAUUGUCCAGCAAACAAUGCGUCCACGCACACGGAUAGGCAUCUAUUGUCCCCCCAGAAAGGGAGUCGCUAGUUUUCAGCAGAAGUUCAAGGGGAAACUGUAUCCCAGAGAAGAGUAGCAAAUGUUCACGGAGAAGCAGUGGAUACCCGAGGUCCCUGGCCUGGAGCUCAUGACCCCUUAGGGUCUAUGGAGACAAUUCAGGAAGCCCAGGAGCUGAGACCAGGUCAAUUUCAAUCUUUAGUUCAUAGCUAUUUCUCCACUCUAUUAAAACCAUUGCAGGUAUCUCGAAAUAUUCCUAGCACUCGUCAUUCCUCAGAAAUUACGGUGUCUCUAUCACAUCUUUCUGGACUCCACGUUGGUACUCCCCUCCUGUAAGGGAUAAAAACCCCUAUAGGACAAUGUGGGGUGGGGAGGGCUCUUCUUCCGCCUCCCAGCUGUCCUGGGAGCUGUUGCUUUCCUAUCAUAAAGACUUCGCUUGCUUAAAAAAAAAAAUCCAGAAAUCGCGGUGGUUUUAAACCAGCAACUAUGCUGUCUUUAAUGCAUUAAUAAAGAAGCUCAUAUACC
rnacentral:lncRNA from 1 species